AAUUAGAUGCGCUCGCGAUGGUCCUUGAAAACCCGAGUGAGGUAAUUAUUCCAUACCAGGCCGUACCAAUAACCGCAUCAGGUCUCCAAGGUUAGCAGCCUCUGGUCGAUUAGAAGAAUGUAGAUAAGGGAAGUCGGCAAAUUAGAUCUGUAACUUCGGGAAAAGUAUUGGCUCUGAGGAUAAUAUCUGUGUGAGGCGGUACCGGCGAUGACGGUCGAGUCAGUUGCGGUCUGCUUGUUUCGGCUUGUGGAUCGCUUCGCGGCGAGGCCUGAUUCCGUCCGGACUGCCGCCUUGCAUUCGUUUGUAUUCGUACAAUCAAAAUUACUCUGAACUGGAGCAGACCACGGGAAUCCGACUGUUUAAUUAAAACAAAGUGUUGUGAUGGCCUUAGCAGGUGUUGACACAACUUGAUUUCUGCCCAGUGCUCUGAAUGUAAAACUGGAGAUAAUAUAAGUAAUACAAAUUCAAG
rnacentral:rRNA from 1 species